rnacentral:lncRNA from 1 species
GUUUUAUUAUCCCUGCUUUAACAGAGGGAGGACUUGAAUCUCGAGUUAAAGUAAUUUGCUCAGGAUUGUAAGGUCUUUUGUGAAGACUUUGAAGUUGCAGGUUCAUUCUGCCGCCAUAUACGUAACAUUCUAAGGUCUGCUUUUUAUAAGACAUAAUAGCUGACACUAUGAGCAAAAGAGACAGAGCUGUUGCCAUUAUGUGGCUUACAGUUUAAUGAAGAAGAUGGACAACAAUCUCACAAGUAAAUCUAUACCUACAAAGUAUGAGAAGUCCUGAAAAAGGAAGGUACAGGUAACUGGGAAGGAAUACAUGAUUAACUCUAUGGUGUCAGGGGGGC